CAUUUUAUCUUCUUUCUCUCCCGUUCUUCCGCACUACUUCCCCUCUUUCUACUACAACCACCAUCAUUAUCAUCGAUAUCAGAACCAAACCUCCAUUGUCGUCGUCGAAGAAUAAGGUAUCCUCAUUACCGGCACAUGAACUGCUUCUUCUCCUUUUUUCUAUUUCACUUCUAUGAAGUAAACCCUAGAUUCAGAUAUUUUUUCUUCCCCUUCAAAAUCUUUAACCCGAUUCUAAGUAGAUAGAUCUGGAUUACCCAUAACAUAUUUUCGUUCUCAAAUCAUCCACGGGAUACAAAAUUUUGACCUCAUGAGGGGAAUAGAGUUAAUCCGCGUUUCUCUGUUCUUUUAGUGUUGUUGGCACGAGAUUUCCCCCUAAAAUACCUUUUCUUUUUUCAGAAGAUUUCUUCAUAAACCCACCUGAAGAGUCAUUAACUCUUUCCUUAAAUUCUAAGUAAUUUGGGGUUCUUUAUUCUUCAAAUGUCAGAUGUAGAACAAAGGGGAGAGAUUUGAUAGGUAGAGAGAAGGUUUGUCAGUCGAUGAAUAAAUAGGGGCAUGGUUCAUGCGGAACUGUGUAUCGUGGUCUACGGUGUGGCUCGGAAGUUGCAAUCAAAGAGUUUUUAUGUUUGAGUACUCGAAUGACUUGCUACUUUAUUUCAGAAAAGAGGUAGUUCUUUUACUCUAGCUAUCUUGGCUAUCUAAAAUCAGAAUGAUAUUCGUUAUAUGCUUUUCCAUUACAGGAUAAUAACUGAUCUAGAUGUAGUCCUUAUAUGCUUUUCCAUUAGAGGGUGCUAACUGAUCCCGAUGUAUAAAGCCCAUUCCAGUUUGAGAGAGCUUGAAGAAAACCUUCCGAAAGGAUUUCCAAAGUUAUGUGUCGCGGAUAAAUAAUUAAUAAAAUUCUGACCUAUGUCUCUUGUUCAAGCUCGGUACAAUGAAUAUAGUGUUGUUUAACAUGCUAAUCAUUUAUCUAUAUUCAUAAGUUUAUCGUCCUAUUAUAAGAGGCAAUAAUUUCACUUAAUAUUGUGACAAGAUUUUUGUGGGGAUCAUUUGGAGAUAAUGGAAUGGGGGUAAUGGCUGGUUUUUAGUGUGGAUGAUCUUCUCACCAGAUAUGUCAUUCUGACAAAAUAAAGUGAAAACCAAUAAAAAUUGACAGGCUUGAUCAUCUACUUUUGUUUUAAGGUCUCAUUAAUUAUUAAUGGAUGACAUGGGUAUUUUUUUU